rnacentral:lncRNA from 1 species
UGCAGCUCUCUCAGGUACAGGGUAUGUUGCUAAGUAUAUGCUUUUAAAAACCCUAGGAGGAGAGGGCACCCAGAAGGGGCCCUGAAGUCAAGGGCACCGUCCAACCUUUCUAUCUCCCCAGCUGAAGACAGGCUGGAGGACAAUUCUCCAGAGUUUCAUAACAAAGAAGAGAAAAAAGAAAUAAAAAAGACCUGGAGGAUAGGGAGUGUGACCACUGUAUGUCAGCCACCGGGGGACAGGCUUCAGCUUACAACCACCUUCCAAAUUCCACCCUCUCACCUUGGCAGAAGCUGGCCAGGAAUUGGGGCCAAUGGAUGGGUGGGGUCUGCACAGGACACCGUAUUCAGGUCCCCAUGAUGGCCUCACACAAAGGUGGUGGCCCUGCAGUUCCAGGUGCCACACACAUGCCAGCCCCUGCUCGGGCCCUGAUCUUUGAGGAAGGGGAGCAGCACAACCCGGGCACUGACCCCACAGUGCCACUCACACCCACAGACGAUUCUCCACAGAGACAUCAGGUCUCGGUCCUGGCCACCUCCUCCUGCAGGGCCUCAGCUGUUUCCUGGGACUCACGUGGUCCUUCCUCACAUGCAGCUCUGGAUUCAGGGCAGACUCUCUGAAGACCUUGUGGGAAACAGCAGAGUCCAGCAGAGAAGACAAGAAAAGCCCAGCUGCAAAGAUGAAAAAAUGGUAGGUGUGACAUGGGCCCCCCAUUCUGAAUCUGUAUUUAGAUGAGGUCUUCCGGAACACCUGCUCUCAUUGGAUACAACUUCAAAUAUAUAUAUAUAUACAUAUAUACAUAUAUAUAUAUAUAUUUUUUUUUUUUGAGACAAAAUCUCACUCUGUUGCCAAUGCUGGAGUGCAGUGGCCUGAUCUCGGCUCACUGCAACCUCCACCUGCCAGGUCCUGGUUCAAGCAAUUCUCCUGCCUCAGCCUCCUGAAUAGCUGAGAUUACAGACAUGCACCCUCAUGCCGGGCUAAUCUUUUGUACUUUUAGCAGAGACGGCGUUUCACCAAGUUGGCAAGGUUGGUCUUGAAGCCCUGGCCUCGGGUGAUUCACCCACCUUGCCCUCCUAAAGUGCUAAGAUUACAGGCAUGAGCCACCGUACCCGGCCCAUUGUGGCAGCUUAAUCACAGAGGAAAAGAAGGCCUGGACCCAGCAUGAAGAUGAUGGAAAGGGGUAAAAGCAGCUCUCUACAUACGGUGUUGCCAGCUUCCAGUUUUCAACAUAAGGGACACUAAAUAGCUUUCCCAACAAAAAUAACUGAGAUGUUGGGUAAAACCUAUGAAAAUGCAUCUUUGUAAGUGCAUUACUGAGCUGGCAUUGAAGGAUGGAAUCCACAGCAGUCAAUAAAGAAUUGGCGGGAACCA